AGAUGAAGAGGAAAAAAAAAUUAUAAUUGUGAUUGCAGUCGAUAAAAGUAAUGGUAAAUGCUCUUAAUAUGAAUAGUAAAACUAAUGAUCUUCUCUUGUAUUUUGCUGUUACAAUAUACGAGGAAUAUGUUGAAUGCUUUUUUGAUAAAAGAGUUAAGUACUAAUUUUGACAAAGUAAUGUGCAUAUGAGAUACAUCACAUAGAUUGUUGGAUUGCCUUCGAUACUAGAAAAAUAACCCAAGCGGUCUAACCCCUAAAUGGACCCCAACUGAAAGGCAUUAGAUGGACUAACGGCAAGCGAGAUAAAGAAAGCCGCUGGCCCUGUGCGUAAAAACUUGCCGUGGGCACCUCUUUCUCAAAUUAGAAUAAAAAGAGUCUUUGGGCAAGAAAGAAAGAAACUGGGAGCAUCUUAUAGGUCUUCUUUUCGUGGAAUGGGUGGGAAAAAUUUAGUGUUCUGAUGUGAAAGGAUGAUAAUGCAAUAAUGGUGUCAUCCAUCUACAGAUGCUUCUUGUUUGUUCAUUCGUGUGACAUUUUCUUAUAAGAUCAUGUUUUAUUGGGAAACCUCUUAGAUGUUAUUUCCUUAUUAAAUUUUGAAUAAUCGGUAGUUUCUCGUUUGAUUGUAUGUUUUAAUUUAUAGGUUGAUGAAUAUAGAUAGCAGAUAUUACUGCAACAACAUAUGUAUUUUUUAAUUAUUUUAUAUUUUAGUAUGAUUUUCGAUAUCCAUAUGAUACUUCAUGAUUCACAUGCACCUUUACUACAAAACAUUGCUUUGAAAUUUCUUGUGUAGUCUUCUUCUUCUUUUAGUGCACAAUAAAAUUAGAGUAUGCAAUCUUUUACGCACUUUACGAGAAGGAAUAAAAUAGCUCUACAAUGAGCUAAAGAAUUGAUUUUCAUUCAUAGCAAUCUGCUUCCUUUAUCAAGAAAAUUAGAUCUAUAUUCGAAAGGAGAAUCCAAAAUAGGGAUAUUGUUGAAAACUCAUUUGAUACUCUUGACGGUGUUGAACUGUUUGAUAUUGUUAAUCUCUCAUUAGAUGAGUCAGAGUUGAAGGGUGUCAUUGUUAAUGAAAAUGAAAAGAAAAAAUUGACGUUGAAGAAAAUGAAGUUUGAACAAUUAAUGAUUAGGAUAAAGUGCAUUAAUAUUUUAUUUUAUUUUUAUUAUUCUGCUUCUGUAUUAAUUUUUUUAGUACUAAUAAAUUUAUGUUGAAUUUUAUAACACGUAUAGAUGUAUCCUAAUUUUUUCAAAAAAGUCGCAUCGACGUAUUCGUAUUGUAUCGUAUUCAAAUUAUGUAUUUGUAUCCGUGCUUCUUAGCUUACCGGUUCAACUAGUACUCAUCGAUCUGACAACACGAUGACUUUAUUCUUUGACCGGUCUAAUAGUUGGGACGAGUUUAAAAACUAUGCUUCAAACUACCCUUUUUGCAUGCGUGCAGUCCACAUGAAUCUUCAAGCUCUGAUACCAAACUGAUGAUAAAUAUGGUAGUUUACACUAACUAAAGUGGUAACCAGGUUUAAACAAACCUAAUUUAAGUAGGUAACCGAGGAAAUAAACUUAAUAUGUACAAAAAUUGGAAUUUAAGAAAUCCUAAUUAAUUUAAUUUCUUUUAUGCUUCAUGUAGACUUUAAACACUGCAUCAGGUUUCAUUUCGGAAAAGGAAAUGUGGCCAAUAGUUCUAGCCAACUAAUAAAAUGAGAAACAUCCAUAGAAUAUUGAAAAAGGAGGUUCCUUUAUAUUUUGAAUUUGUAUGAUUGUAUUUUGCUGUUACAAUAUACGAGGAAUAUGUUGAAUGCUUUUUUGAUAAAAGAGUUAAGUACUAAUUUUGACAAAGUAAUGUGCAUAUGAGAUACAUCACAUAGAUUGUUGGAUUGCCUUCGAUACUAGAAAAAUAACCCAAGCGGUCUAACCCCUAAAUGGACCCCAACUGAAAGGCAUUAGAUGGACUAACGGCAAGCGAGAUAAAGAAAGCCGCUGGCCCUGUGCGUAAAAACUUGCCGUGGGCACCUCUUUCUCAAAUUAGAAUAAAAAGAGUCUUUGGGCAAGAAAGAAAGAAACUGGGAGCAUCUUAUAGGUCUUCUUUUCGUGGAAUGGGUGGGAAAA
rnacentral:lncRNA from 1 species